rnacentral:lncRNA from 1 species
UUUUUUUUUCCCUCUUUGGUGAACUCGCAGUACUUGGGCUGAGCCCGAAAUCUCGCGAGAUGCUGCAGGCGUCAGUGCCGCUUCCCACUAGGCGCGUGGUACCCGAAGCCGGGCUGGAGCCGCAGGCCAGCCGCGAUUCCUGCGGGCGAUGCUGGGGGCUUUCCGGUGGGGGGCCGCAGCCGCUUCCGGAGCCGCGGGCGAGGUGCGUUCCCCAGCCUGAUUUGCUCUGGGCUCUGACCCGCCGCCGCGAAUCUCCGCUCGUAACUCCGGGCCUGAACCCGGAGGAGGGAGGAUUUCCUCUGUGCAGCUUUCAAGCGGUAGACUCACCCUGCCAGGCAGACCUAGAUUGGCAUAACCAGAGAUUAAUUCCAGUUGUGAUGCAGUGGGUGUUUACACACUUCUGAUGACACCUUUAUUUUAAAAGCAGAUGUUCCAAGGUGCAAGUGGUUCUUCUCUGUCUUCUUUCUAGCCAGUAAAAUUCUCCAGAAGAGGAGAUUUAUGGCAGCCUCACUCCCAGUAGUUUCUGCAUUUAGGGAGAUAAGUACCCUGGGAUGUCACUCAAGUCUCUUUUUAAACCUAUAUCCGUUUCACCUCAUUUGGCUU